CCUCUGAAAUGAGAGGUGGGUGAGACAUACCAUAUUUUCUGCUUCUACCGCUAUCCUGCUUUCUCUUAAACUUGUUUUUAUCACUAUCAUAAAUUCCUUGCUUACUCUAGAGCCAAGACAAUGUAAGAUUUUUUUUUUUUUUUUUUUUUCCCAGGCCUGUCAUCUCCUGUCAGGCAGAGAUAGCCAUGUAGAUGUGCUCAGUCACAGAGGCAGAAGGACUGACAGGAAGCAUGGUACGCACCAAGCACACCCAGAGCUGCGCCCGUGCCAGGAGAAGACUUGCAGUGCAGCCGGGGCUGAUGGCGACAGUUCCCACCAGCUGCCCCACCAGCUCAGGAAGAUGCAGGUCACAGACGUACCAACAAGAGGCUGAAUUCUGACAUGCAGCGUUGUCUUGAAAGGCACCUUGCGAACGCCAGCCGAUGCAAACGGUGCAGAAACAGGAGGACUCCUCCGAGAAAACUGCAGCUGGGGCAUUUGCUCAGCAUUUCAUGGUUGAUCUUGUUGAUUCCAUCUGGAGCAAUCUUUGUGAGAGUGGCUAUUCCUCUGACCCACUUUAGAGAGGUUUGUAAGGGUUUUUUUUCCUCUGUUUGUAAGUGAACAUGGCAAUGUAACGGGCCCAAUAACCGUGAAACACAACUGAACGUCUUGUUUCUUGAUGUUACGGACUAAAAGCACACUGAAUUUAUUCCUUUGCGUUUGUGGCUGGGCAGAGUGUUUCUGUUUUCAAACAGUGCCCGUUUGAAAGCUAACGCUUGUGGUCAUCUGUAGUGGGUUUGGGGUUUGGUUAUGGUUGUUGGUUUUUUUUUCCUGAGAAGAGCUGCUUUCAUAUUCCUGUGAGUUAAGUGGCUGGUUAGCACAAAUAGACCACGUAGGAGGAAUCUGUAUUGUAAUAAAUGUACUUGGGCUGGCCAGACAGAGAGGUCACAGUCCUGAGAGUCUUUCUGCAUCCUUCUCGAGGAUUGCGAGAGCAAGGCAGAAAUGAGUAGAGAUGAGAAACUCAGGGUUACUGUUGCUUAACUCCAAAAAGCAAUUUCUGAUGUUGAGAGGGCUCUGGCCCAGCUCCAAAAGGUGAGGAAAGUCAGAAAAUAGUCAAGAGUUAGAACUAGAAGCUAACUUCUCCUGAGAGAUGCCAUUUGGUUCUUGCCAAGGGAAUCUCUGUUAUAGCAAGGACGGACAUGCCUAAUGAUUGUAAGAAAAGGAAGAUGACUCCCAAGUUCCUGCCCUUCCUCCUUAGUACAGGAACACAUUUCCUCGCUUUCUUCCGGUCAAAUUACUGAAGCUAUCGAGAGAGACUUCCUUCUGUGGCUGAUGGCAGGAGGAGAUGGUGGAGAAGAUGGAGAUGAUGGUUCUGGGGGGCACAGAGCUUGGAUGCAAGUUACAAAAUCUUGGAAUAUAAAAAGUUUGGCAUAACGGUAUGUGCAACGCUAACUGCAACAGUUACCUGCCUCUGCAGUGGUACCUGCCUCUGCAGUGGUACCUGCCUCUGCAGUGGCAUUUGCCUCUGCCAUGGUAUCUUAAUCUGUAACGGUAUCUGCACCUGAGCUGGUAGUUGCAAUGGUAUCCGCACUUGCAGCGGCAUCUGCGUCGGUCUGCAGGUUGCAAGUUACAAAAUCCUGGAAGAUAAGCUGUUCUGCCUAA